rnacentral:rRNA from 1 species
GAUGAACGCUAGCGGCAGGCCUAAUACAUGCAAGUCGAGGGGUAGAGAAGAGCUUGCUUUUCUUGAGACCGGCGCACGGGUGCGUAACGCGUAUGCAACCUACCUUGAUCAGGGGGAUAGCCUCUCGAAAGAGAGAUUAACACCGCAUAAAAUCACAAUACCGCAUGGUAUAAUGAUUAAAUAUUUAUAGGAUCAAGAUGGGCAUGCGUGACAUUAGCUAGUUGGUGAGGUAAAGGCUCACUAAGGCGACGAUGUCUAGGGGAUCUGAGAGGAUGACCCCCCACACUGGUACUGAGACACGGACCAGACUCCUACGGGAGGCAGCAGUAAGGAAUAUUGGUCAAUGGGGGCAACCCUGAACCAGCCAUGCCGCGUGCAGGAAGACGGCCCUAUGGGUUGUAAACUGCUUUUAUACGGGAAUAAACCCCUCCUCGUGAGGAGGGUUGAAUGUACUGUAAGAAUAAGGAUCGGCUAACUCCGUGCCAGCCGCCGCGGUAAAAC